rnacentral:rRNA from 1 species
CACGUAAGGGGCGAGCGUUGUUCGGAAUUAUUGGGCGUAAAGGGCGCGUAGGCGGUCCUGUAAGCCCGGCGUGAAAACCUGGAGCUCAACUCCGGGCCUGCGCUGGGAACUGCGGGACUAGAGUCAUGGAAGGGAAGUUGGAAUUCCAGGUGUAGGGGUGAAAUCUGUAGAUAUCUGGAAGAACACCGGUGGCGAAGGCGAACUUCUGGCCAAUGACUGACGCUGAGGCGCGAAAGUGCGGGGAGCAAACAGGAUUAGAUACCCUGGUAGUCCGCACCAUAAACGAUGUACACUAGGCGUUGGGUCGAGUGACUCAGUGCCGAAGCUAACGUGAUAAGUGUACCGCCUGGGGAGUAUGCCCGCAAGGGUGAA